AUUUGAGUAGUUUAAUUUAGAAUAAUAAUUUGUGGAGUUAUAGGUGUUACGGAAAUCUCAAAUC
rnacentral:tRNA from 1 species